ACAUUCUUACCUUGGUGAUGUCGAGGAUACUCAUAACAGGCUGGCCUUCUUGGAUGACAGAGCUGUCUUAACUGUUCCUCUGUUCUAUCUUGAAGGUAAGUGCAUUACUCGGUUGCCCUGUGACUGUCUUUUCUUCAAUUACUGGAGCACGGGCCCAACAUCAGAGGCUCAUAAUCUUCAAAAAUGUUGGUGCAAGGUGCAAGAGACCCCAAAUUUCAUAAUGCAAGAAAUAACAAGAACUGGAGUUGAAUGAUAGAGUUCUUCCAGAGUAACUUUGCUUCCUUUCCUUAGUCGUAUGAUAACACUGCAAUGAAGAAGCUGAGGGCAUAUAUGUGUGAGAAACCAAAAGCAUUUGCUUUGCAUAUUCUACAAAUUUCAACAAUACACUUAGGUGGCAAUUUUUUUUGCACAUAAUUCUCCCAAAAAAAGGUUGUUCAUUGCCUCAAAGUAGGAUUGGCUCUUUCCCUUGUGUCUGUGUUUUAUUACAUGAGGCCUCUGCGUGAAGUUGUUGGAUGGAAUGCUAUGUGGGCUGUUAUGGCAGUUGAAGUAGUAUUUGAGUACACUCUAGGUUCUACACUUUAUAAGUGUGUAAAUAGAGCUAUGGUAGCAUGUCUCGCUGAAUCUCUAGGAAUUGAUGUUCGCGGGUGACAAGUCAAUCUGAAGAAAGAUUUGAACCUGUUAUUCUCCAAGCUUCAGUUUUUCUCUUAGUAGCUGCAAGUCGUUUGCUCCAAAUUGAUUUGGGCUUGUGAAUCGAACUUCAGGUAUGUCUUCGAUGUCUGCAAAAUAUUUGUUCAUCUCUCUUUCAUUUUGUUUAUUGCUCUUCUCUGUGCCUUUGAUUUUCUCCAACAGCUAACAGUGUGAUUAAUGAAAGCUAGAUGAGGGAUUGUGUAUGUAAUACAUCUUUCCUUUCUUGUGUCUGUUUGGGAAUUACAAUUGGUUUCCAUCAUGGAGACAGAUUGAAAACUAUUCUAGCAAAAAAAUUUGGCAGAGAUUUCCCCACUGAUAUAGAAAAUUAGACCCUAUUCUUUUGGGUUGUAGGCAGUAGGAAGGUGCUUAACUUGAAGGAAGUGAAUGUGAUGAGAGCCUAUGGAACUGCUAAAGGCAAGUUUCAGCAUCUUUAAGAUCGUCAUCAAAUGAGGGUGAAGAAAUUUGUAAAGAGGGAAGAUGAACAUUUGGAUUGGGAGAUACGGAUAAGGGUAGCACUGGGCAUGUCGUACUGCCUUGAGAACAAUCAUAGUUUGUCGUCAUGGGUACCCCAUAGAAACUUGACUUACUGCUGUGUACAUCAAAGAAGACUACAACCAUGAAGUAGUGCUCAGCUAUCCUAUUGAGGCCUCAAGUGCACAUCUAUCCAAUUAUCUUCAUGUUAUUUGUUAGAGAAGAGGCAAAUAUUAUUCAAGAUUAAACUUCUGCAGCAAAAGGGGAAUGACAAGUAUGUGCUAAUGUUACUAUCAAUGUUCUUGCUGCUCUUUAAGUUAAUAGUGUACCUCUGUUGGAAUGAUGAAAAAGCAAAAAACAACGGUCUGUAGUAUUUUAGCUUCACACUUCCUGCACAACUUCUCAUGGCAUGCAGCUCUAUCUUCUUUUCUUAGGUUGAAUGUAGCUUAUUUUAAUUGCAGCUCUAUGAGUGUUUUGGUCAAACU